rnacentral:lncRNA from 1 species
AACUCAGUUCAGGGCUCUGAGGGUAAGGGCACCUGACACUAGGUCUGAUGGUCCAAGUUCAGUCCCUGGGGCCCACAUGAUGAAAAGAGCCAACUCCUGAAAGUUACCCUCUGACACAUAGUAAUAAAAUAUUUAAAAAAUGUUACAUGAUAAUAAAAACAUUUAAAAAACAAAAUACCAAUUAAUCUAAAGAGCUGGAGGAAUGUUUAGAAAUUAUUUUUCAAAUUCUAAAACUCUAUUUACCAGAGAAAACCUAAGCACAUUAGCAACAAUGUUAACGUUCAUGUUAUUUCUGUUCCCCAGGAGUAAUGACAUGUUAGCUAUCCUGCAGCUGUAAUGAAUUAAAUGUUAAGGUCGACUUAGACACUGUUAGUCAUCAGCAGUGCCAAUGAAGGAAGCCUGGUGAUGGAAACCCUGGGCUUCCGAUUGCAGGCCUGUUAGGCUGUAUUACCUCUGUAAGCUAACGGUUCCAUGAAGUGCUGUCACGUGUGCUUUCUCGGCAUUACUAACCUGAAGAGGUGACAGAGCAAACGGGUUCAGUCCGGCCGGGUUCUGAACGGACGAGGAUGCGAGCAGUGGAGCUGGAGCAGGCGACGGUGACUUAGAUGGUGGCUGAGACUGAGGAGUCACCGAACUGGCGGACAGGUCGUCCUUCUGCUCACAGUGAUCUCUGGUGGGACAGUUUAAAGUGUCUGUAGAAGUCUCGAACACUUCUUCUUUGAUCUGGAGACUCUCGGCCUUUUUAAGCUUUUCUUUUUCUUUUGCAAUUUCUUCUAGGCCUACAAAAGUGAAAGAUGCUAGUAAAGUAAAUUAUUAUACAAC